AUGGCGUCCGCGCUCUCCGUGCCGCUCCUCUCGGCGCUGCUCGGCGGGGCCGUCGCGCUCGUCUUCCUCGCCGGGUACCUGCGCCGCAAGCGCGCCGACAUCGCGCACCUGCCCCCCUCCGCCGCCGCCGCCGCGCCGGACCUGCCCAAGCAGGUCCGCCCCGCCGGCCAGAACAAGAAGGGCGGAGGGCACGCCCGCGUCCACCACCACCACACCUCCGCCGCCGACAAGGAGGCGGCCAAGAAGCACCACCACCUCGACGUCAACACCCUGAGGGGCCACACCGACUGCGUCACCGCGCUCGACUUCUCCACCGACGCCUGCAACCUAGCCACCGUAUGCGCGGAUGGGGUUGUGAGAGUAUUCAGGAUCGACGAUGCAUCAAGCAAGAGCUUUAAGAUUCUCAAGAUAAACUUGCCUGCUGGGGCACAUCCCACUGCCAUCGCUUACUCAGAAGGGUCAUCAUCCGUUGUUGUGGCAGCACAGGCGCUGUUAGGCUCGUCGCUCUACAUGUAUGCGGAUGUUGGUGCUCCUCCAACUGGGGGAAACAAACAGCAGGGCAAGCUUUCUCCUCCUGAGAUCAAGUGGGACCACAAAAAGAUUCACGGCAAGGAGUCGGUGCUGAACCUUGCGGCAGCUCGUGCAACUCAUGGGACUGGUGAUGGGAGCACAAUAGUGAUUUCUUGCUCUGAAGCAACUGAUAUCAAAAUAUGGCAUGGAAAGAGUGGCAAAGAGUUGGGAACAGUUGACACUAAUCAGUUGAAAAACAACAUGGCUGACAUAUCCCCAAAUGGCCGCUUCAUUGCUGCUGCAGCUUUCACUGCUGAUGUCAAGGUGUGGGAGAUUGUUUAUUCGAAGGAUAGUUCAGUGAAGGAGGUUAACAGGGUCAUGCAGCUCAAGGGUCACAAGAGUGCUGUUACUAGUUUGUGUUUCACUCCGGAUUCUGAGAAGAUUAUUACUGCGUCGAAAGAUGGUACCAUCCGGGUAUGGAAUAUCAAUGUAAGGUAUCACCUUGAUGAGGAUCCCAAAACCUUGAGAGUUUUGCCAGUCCCUCUGCAUGAUUCAAAAGGCUCUACUUGCCUGUAUGAACACAUGGGCAUCUCCCCAGAUGGUAAAGUUCUGGCUGUAACAAGCGGAUCGACGUUGCAAUGGUUAUGUGCAGAAACUGGCGCGGUUUUGGAUACAGCUGAGAAGGCUCAUGAAGGUGCUAUUUCUGGCAUUGCGUGGGCUCCACGGACAAUUCCAAAUGGUGGUGCUCCUGCGUUCAUUCUAGCGAGUUGCGGGGACGACAAAAAGGUGAAACUGUGGUUAGCUCCGGAGGUCAGCUCGACAUGA
rnacentral:rRNA from 1 species